rnacentral:ncRNA from 1 species
CUUAUCAAGAAAGACGGAGGGAUGGGCCCUAUGAUGUCUUGGCAACCCUGAAAAAGCAGGGUGCCAAUUCCCACUCCUAAAAUGGAGGCAGAUGA